CUGCAUUCUUUGCUGCAUCUACUUUGGCGACCGCCUCUGGUUCAACAGAAGUUGCCAUCGGAUACGUCGCCCCAGGAGGAAAUAAAUCGGAUAACAAAGAGCGACGAAUACAUCGAAUAUUCGAAAAAAAGCAAAAGCUGUUUCAGCUCAACAAGGCAGCAAAACAACCUCCAAGGAUCAGGGUUAUUUCCCAUACCACGGAUGUCGUAGAAGACCCGGACUGUUAGGAAGUUACAGGUUUUGGCUGCUAGCCGCAAUCAAAUCAUCGCUAAUUGCAUGGAAGAAAUUUCAAAUAAAGUAAGUUAAUCAAACAGAAUAAUAAAAUAUGAACAUUGUGCCCAGAA